GAUGGACGCUGGCUACAGGCUUAACACAUGCAAGUCGAGGGGAAACGGCAUUGAGUGCUUGCACUGAAUGGACGUCGACCGGCGCACGGGUGAGUAACGCGUAUCCAACCUUCCCGUUACUGCGGGAUAACCUGCCGAAAGGCAGACUAAUACCGCAUGUUCUUCGAUGACGGCAUCAGAUUCGAAGCAAAGAUCCGUCGGUAACGGAGGGGGAUGCGUCUGAUUAGCUAGUUGGCGGGGCGACGGCCCACCAAGGCGACGAUCAGUAGGGGUUCUGAGAGGAAGGUCCCCCACAUUGGAACUGAGACACGGUCCAAACUCCUACGGGAGGCAGCAGUGAGGAAUAUUGGUCAAUGGGCGGAAGCCUGAACCAGCCAAGUAGCGUGCAGGAUGACGGCCCUACGGGUUGUAAACUGCUUUUAUGCGGGGAUAAAGUGAGGGACGCGUCCCUUUUUGCAGGUACCGCAUGAAUAAGGACCGGCUAAUUCCGUG
rnacentral:rRNA from 1 species